rnacentral:rRNA from 1 species
AACGGGUGAGUAAUGCAUCGGAACGUACCCAGUAGUGGGGGAUAACUUACCGAAAGGUAAGCUAAUACCGCAUACGCACUGAGGUGGAAAGCAGGGGACCGCAAGGCCUUGCGCUAUUGGAGCGGCCGAUGUCGGAUUAGCUAGUUGGUGGGGUAAAGGCCUACCAAGGCGACGAUCCGUAGCGGGUCUGAGAGGAUGAUCCGCCACACUGGAACUGAGACACGGUCCAGACUCCUACGGGAGGCAGCAGUGGGGAAUUUUGGACAAUGGGCGCAAGCCUGAUCCAGCCAUGCCGCGUGAGUGAAGAAGGCCUUCGGGUUGUAAAGCUCUUUCGGCCGGGAAGAAAUCGUGGUGGCGAAUACCUGCCAUGGAUGACGGUACCGGACUAAGAAGCACCGGCUAACUACGUGCCAGCAGCCGCGGUAAUACGUAGGGUGCGAGCGUUAAUCGGAAUUACUGGGCGUAAAGCGUGCGCAGGCGGUUGUGUAAGACAGGCGUGAAAUCCCCGGGCUCAACCUGGGAACUGCGCUUGUGACUGCACGGCUAGAGUACGGCAGAGGGGGGUGGAAUUCCACGUGUAGCAGUGAAAUGCGUAGAGAUGUGGAGGAACACCGAUGGCGAAGGCAGCCCCCUGGGUCGAUACUGACGCUCAUGCACGAAAGCGUGGGGAGCAAACAGGAUUAGAUACCCUGGUAGUCCACGCCCUAAACGAUGUCGACUAGUUGUUGGAGGGGUAAAACCCUUUAGUAACGUAGCUAACGCGUGAAGUCGACCGCCUGGGGAGUACGGCCGCAAGGUUA